GGGUGAUCGUGGACCGUCUGAC
rnacentral:siRNA from 1 species